GCGGAGGUUGCCAAGCCAGGUUAAAGGCGCAAGGUUUAGGUCCUUGUCUCGCAGGAGUUCACGAGUUCAAAUCUCGUCCUCCGCACCA
rnacentral:tRNA from 1 species